rnacentral:rRNA from 1 species
CCUACGGGGGGCAGCAGUAGGGAAUCUUCCGCAAUGGACGAAAGUCUGACGGAGCAACGCCGCGUGAGCGAAGAAGGUCUUCGGAUCGUAAAGCUCUGUUGUUAGGGAAGAACAAGUACGGGAGGAAAUGACCGUACCUUGACGGUACCUAACGAGGAAGCCACGGCUAACUACGUGCCAGCAGCCGCGGUAAUACGUAGGUGACAAGCGUUGUCCGGAAUUAUUGGGCGUAAAGCGCGCGCAGGCGGUUUUUUAAGUCUGAUGUGAAAUCUUGCGGCUCAACCGCAAGCGGGCAUGGGAAACUGGGAGACGUGAGUGUAGAAGAGGAAAGCGGCAUUCGACGUGGAGCGGUGAAAUGCGGAGAGAAGUGGAGGAAAAGCAGUGGCGUAGGCGGGUUUAUGGUCUGUAGCUGACGCUGAGGCGCGAACGCGUUGGGAGCAAACAGGAAUAGAUACCCUAGUAGUC